rnacentral:rRNA from 1 species
AAGUAAAAGUCGUAACAAGGUUUCCGUAGGUGAACCUGCGGAAGGAUCAUUAAAAAAUAUACAGAAGAUGUUACGGGAGAGGGGGUUCAAAUACCCGCUCCCUAAUGUCCUACGUUAAACCCAAACCGUGUACCUAUACCAUGUUGCUUCCCAGGACCCGCAGGGAAACCUGCCCGGCACUGCCCCUCCUCACCGAGGGACGGCCGGCCGCGGUCCUGGAGAAGGUCCGCAACGUAAGUUGUAAAACCCCCCAACCAGCCUGAAGAUGAGAAGUCUGACGUUGGCCUUUGUGCCACCGGUUUUAUAUAACAUACUUAAAACUUUCAACAACGGAUCUCUUGGUUCUCGCAUCGAUGAAGAACGCAGCGAAAUGCGAUAAGUAAUGUGAAUUGCAGAAUUCAGUGAAUCAUCGAAUCUUUGAACGCACAUUGCGCCCCAGGGCAUUCCUUGGGGCAUGCCUGCUCGAGCGUCACAAAAAACCCCCCUCACAAGCAUUUGUGGUGAUGGCGGACGUGGCUACCCGGCCCCCUUACCGGGGAAGGGCCCACGCCGCUGAAAUGGAUCAGGCGGANCGCAACCUCUCUCGUCAACUGGCUUAGUAAAAACGACGUCAAGUCAACCAGCCGGGAGUGAGGUGAUGUCUUGCCCACACUAGGACCCCCAUCCAUCGUGAUGAGAAACCUUGGGUUGACCUCGGAUCAGGUAGGGAUACCCGCUGAACUUAAGCAUAU